UACGUAGGGGGCAAGCGUUGUCCGGAAUCAUUGGGCGUAAAGAGCGUGUAGGCGGCCAGGUAGGUCGGUUGUGAAAACUGGAGGCUCAACCUUCAGAGGUCGACCGAAACCAUCUGGCUAGAGUCCGGGAGAGGAGAGUGGAAUUCCUGGUGUAGCGGUGAAAUGCGCAGAUAUCAGGAGGAACACCAAUAGCGAAGGCAGCUCGCUGGGACGUUACUGACACUGAGGCGCGAAAGCGUGGGGAGCGAACAGG
rnacentral:rRNA from 1 species